GUGGGGAACAUAAUAAUAGAAGGACACUGAACCAAAGCAUGGCUGCUGUCGUCGUCUCUGCGUAUGAUUCUAUAUAUUAUUCUGCAGUGCACAAACUUAACAAGACACCGUAAAUGUAUCGAACCGUGACGUCAAUUUCGAGAUCGAGGACUAAUUAAUUCAGCAGCUCACCUCUUCAUUGUGGAGCAGCAGACUGACAGUUGUCGUCAUCGCAGUGAUCGGUCUGUUCCUCAGACUAUUUGAUGUAUAUUAACAAUAAUUGGUGCUGCCGCCACACUGAUGUUUAGUAAACCAUUGAGCUAUUUUCCAGGAGGGUGACCGCGAGGAAUUUCAGUGUAGCUGCUCAGAGUCAGGACAGAUGGGGAACACUGGCUGUCCUCUGUGGACCACAGAUGUCCAAACCUCAUCAUCAUUAUCACUUAGAGGACAUUUCAUUUCAUUCCUCAGCCAAGUCCUGUUGUCUCUUCCAUUUAAUCUUAAACACUCAAAUACAUUCACUGAAACAUCAAAACAGUAAGUAAAUAAAAAAAAGUAUUUCUGUGAUUUGUUAUGGGUGGGAACUCUAUGACUGUCCAAGAUUAGAGAGAAAAUAUUGUAAGAAUUUCAUAUUUUAUAUAUGUCAUAUUUUAUGCCAAAAAGGCUACAUUUAUAUUAAUUUAAUCUAAAGCCAUUAGCAGUAAUAAACCAAACAAAUUAACAUUGGCUUUGACUAUAAUAACAGAAGGUUUGUUAGAAAUAGCUAAGUUUAACUAAAAUAUGAUGUUAAUGCAGCUUAAGAAUUGUAAUCAGUACAAUUUUUAAAAAGUUAGCACCGAAUGAUGAAUAAACAACAAAUAAAUACAAAAUAGAUAGAUAGAUAAAGCCAAAUAAUUGUUCCUGGAGGAGUCUAAUAUAAAUUAGAGUUAACCAAAGGUGCUAGUCAUGCUAGAAGCUAACAGCAAAUUGGUAUAAUUAGAUGGCUUAAAUUUGUUAAGAUAGGUCAGGAUGCUAGAAUGUACCUAGACGUUCUUCGAAUACCAAAAAGCUACACAAUUCCUAGAACUAAAUGUGAACUUAAACUUAAUUGAAAUAUGUAUUUCUUUUUUUUAAUAACAGAAAACCAAGCAGCAGAAGACACAAGUCUCCGACGUGAUCCUGUUAUUCUGCACUAAUUCAAACCUCUGUCUACAUGAUCACUUCAACUACACUCACAUUCUUUCCACUGAAAGUGAAAUUAGUGUCUAGACUUUUUUUGUGAUUUUUUUUUGUUUCUCUCUUGUUCCUGAAGAAGUUCUCACUUCCCCUGAUCUGCCAACUGGGGCUGAUGUUGUGACGGCGACGGCGUCUCCAGUUCCAGCAUCUCACAGUGACUCCAGCAGGUUCUGACUCUGCCAGACUCUACAAGUGAAUGAGAGGCAGAUGUAUGGUGACAGCCCAACACUCAUUAGGCUGAAUCAGUGUCACACCGUGACAAGUGGCCGACUUGAGGCUUCUCGUAUCACUCACUCCUUCAUUCAACCAGGGCCAGCUCCGACUCACUUGGACCUCCUGUAAAACCACUAAUUAUUCUCCUUGUUCUGUGUCUUCUGCUGAAGACAGGUCCUUUCAUGUUGGGACACAUUUCUUUGAAAAACAUUGUUCACACAUCCAAGUGUGAUUUUCUGUCUUUGACCUAAAGUCUCCUCAGAUCUAACGAUAAUCCUGGUGUUCUCUAUUCUGACCAUCCUCAGCUGCACGGUCAGCUUUGACCCCUCUGGGCACCCGUCCCUGGGCUGAAGUUGUUAUAUCUAUUUCAGUCCACCAGAGACCAGACGGCCAUCAUGGUGGCUCCAGAGAAUUCCCUGUCCAGCGAUUUAAGGAUGGCCAUGCUUCGGUCAUAUGCUGUAGCCUCUCCUGUGUCCAAACGGUUUAGCGUCUGAUGACUCGCUCUGAGCCACUAAAGGCCGGUUUUUUAACAAUUAUAGAUGUGUGGCUGCCAGACAUGCAAACAGAUGUGCUUUGAUCUAUUUACGGUAGGAUGGACGGGGAGGGAGGAGGUGUAACGGCUUACGACCAUGCGUGGGUCAGAUCAGGCACCUCUGUCAUCCCUGUCUCUCAGUUCAUUUGACGUGCACUUGUUUUUUUGUUUUUUUUUUAGCUCAGAACUUUGGUGAUGAAUGGCCUUAAUGUGAAACUGUGUUAGCAGCUGUGACGUACGUGCAUGGAUGGAUGUCUGUGGUGUUCAGACUGUUUCAAAGUCCAGUUUUAUAAGGUCAAAUACCUUCGAGCCGAGGCUCUUCCUGUGAUCUUUUACACUUUGGGUGAAAAUCAGACGUGUUUCCAAAAUACUUCAACUGUCUUAAAGAAGUUCAAGAAAGAAGUUCUUUCUAGAAGUAAGCAAAAGUCAUAACUAAGGCAAAAAGACUCUAUGUCAGACAUGGGUAAACUACGGCAUGUGGGCCAGAUACG